rnacentral:tRNA from 2 species
AAUCCGUCGACUUUUGAAAUCGUGAGGAU